AACGAACGCUGGCGGCAUGCCUAACACAUGCAAGUCGAACGAUGCCUUCGGGCAUAGUGGCGCACGGGUGCGUAACGCGUGGGAAUCUGCCUUUCGGUUCGGAAUAACUCAGGGAAACUUGAGCUAAUACCGGAUAACGUCGCCAGACCAAAGAUUUAUCACCGAAAGAUGAGCCCGCGUAGGAUUAGCUAGUUGGUGAGGUAAAGGCUCACCAAGGCGACGAUCCUUAGCUGGUCUGAGAGGAUGAUCAGCCACACUGGGACUGAGACACGGCCCAGACUCCUACGGGAGGCAGCAGUGGGGAAUAUUGGACAAUGGGCGAAAGCCUGAUCCAGCAAUGCCGCGUGAGUGAUGAAGGCCUUAGGGUUGUAAAGCUCUUUUACCCGGGAAGAUAAUGACGGUACCGGGAGAAUAAGCCCCGGCUAACUCCGUG
rnacentral:rRNA from 1 species